GAUGAGCCCGCGUCGGAUUAGCUAGUUGGUAGGGUAACGGCCUACCAAGGCGACGAUCCGUAACUGGUCUGAGAGGACGACCAGUCACACCGGAACUGAGACACGGUCCGGACUCCUACGGGAGGCAGCAGUGGGGAAUAUUGGACAAUGGGGGAAACCCUGAUCCAGCGACGCCGCGUGGGUGAAGAAGGCCUGCGGGUUGUAAAGCCCUUUCAGUGGGGAAGAAAAGCCUCGAGCUAAUACCUCGGGGUCUUGACGUAACCCAUAGAAGAAGCACCGGCUAACUCUGUGCCAGCAGCCGCGGUAAUACAGAGGGUGCGAGCGUUAAUCGGAAUUACUGGGCGUAAAGCGCGCGUAAGCGGCUUUGCAAGUCGGGUGUGAAAUCCCCAGGCUUAACCUGGGAACUGCAUUCGAGACUGC
rnacentral:rRNA from 1 species